UGUGUUAGUGGAAGCGUCUGGAAAGGCGUGCGAUACAGGGUGACAGCCCCGUACACAAAAAUGCACAUACUGUGAGCUCGAUGAGUAGGGCGGGACACGUGGUAUCCUGUCUGAAUAUGGGGGGACCAUCCUCCAAGGCUAAAUACUCCUGACUGACCGAUAGUGAACCAGUACCGUGAGGGAAAGGCGAAAAGAACCCCGGCGAGGGGAGUGAAAAAGAACCUGAAACCGUGUACGUACAAGCAGUGGGAGCACGCUUAGGCGUGUGACUGCGUACCUUUUGUAUAAUGGGUCAGCGACUUAUAUUCUGUAGCAAGGUUAACCGAAUAGGGGAGCCGAAGGGAAACCGAGUCUUAACUGGGCGUUAAGUUGCAGGGUAUAGACCCGAAACCCGGUGAUCUAGCCAUGGGCAGGUUGAAGGUUGGGUAACACUAACUGGAGGACCGAACCGACUAAUGUUGAAAAAUUAGCGGAUGACUUGUGGCUGGGGGUGAAAGGCCAAUCAAACCGGGAGAUAGCUGGUUCUCCCCGAAAGCUAUUUAGGUAGCGCCUCGUGAAUUCAUCUCCGGGGGUAGAGCACUGUUUCGGCAAGGGGGUCAUCCCGACUUACCAACCCGAUGCAAACUGCGAAUACCGGAGAAUGUUAUCACGGGAGACACACGGCGGGUGCUAACGUCCGUCGUGAAGAGGGAAACAACCCAGACCGCCAGCUAAGGUCCCAAAGUCAUGGUUAAGUGGGAAACGAUGUGGGAAGGCCCAGACAGCCAGGAUGUUGGCUUAGAAGCAGCCAUCAUUUAAAGAAAGCGUAAUAGCUCACUGGUCGAGUCGGCCUGCGCGGAAGAUGUAACGGGGCUAAACCAUGCACCGAAGCUGCGGCAGCGACGCUUAUGCGUUGUUGGGUAGGGGAGCGUUCUGUAAGCCUGUGAAGGUGUGCUGUGAGGUAUGCUGGAGGUAUCAGAAGUGCGAAUGCUGACAUAAGUAACGAUAAAGCGGGUGAAAAGCCCGCUCGCCGGAAGACCAAGGGUUCCUGUCCAACGUUAAUCGGGGCAGGGUGAGUCGACCCCUAAGGCGAGGCCGAAAGGCGUAGUCGAUGGGAAACAGGUUAAUAUUCCUGUACUUGGUGUUACUGCGAAGGGGGGACGGAGAAGGCUAUGUUGGCCGGGCGACGGUUGUCCCGGUUUAAGCGUGUAGGCUGGUUUUCCAGGCAAAUCCGGAAAAUCAAGGCCGAG
rnacentral:rRNA from 1 species